CUAGUGGUUGCCAGGGGCGCUCGGAACUGAAGGCGUGUGGUCAACCUGUCCCAAGAUUGUCGACUGGGUAAUUUUAUGGCGAGCCGGACUGUCUGAACCCUGGUUUGAUGGGUCCCUAUCAGAGAGCGUUUGUCCCAGGCUCUCCUCGCUGUCCACCCGCCCGGCUGUUAGCUGUAUUCCCCGCUCUUCCGGCUCUGGCGCAGACUUCCCUCCAGGUGCUGUGACUGCCUGCAGGACUGAACUUGGGAAAUGCUUGCGUCUGCACCGGUGCUGUGAGCGAGUCCAUUCACUUCAGCUCACCCUUCCCAUGGCUCGUUUGUUGAGAAAAGUUGCUACAGCCCACUAAGCUCCUCUGUCCAUGGGAUUUCCCAGGCAAGAAUACUGCAGUGGAUUGCCAUUUCCUUCUCCAGGGGAUCUUCCAGACCCAGGGAUCAAACUACAUUGCGGGCGGGUUCUUUACUGCUGAGCCACCAGGGAAGCUCACUUAAAGCAUAAUAAUAUAUCCUGAACAUCCAGGGAUGCAGGGUGCUCUGCAGCCCUUAUUAAUAUCAGAUAUUAUGGUGAAUGUCUCAAAAAAUUAUUUGAAUGUAGAAUUCUCAGGGUAAAUGUGCUUGUGCCCUAUAUAUCAUAAGUGAAAGGAAGCUGCAGGUAGCUCUGAUUGUGGAUAAGAAGGGAAAUCUUGUUUUCUCCCAAGAAAGUAGACCAUUAGGGCAUAAAAAUCCAGCACCUACUGUAGUUUAUUGCCCGUAAUCAAUCCCGUUCAAUAAAUGUUUCAUCGAAAGUUGAACUGGAUAUCCCUCUGAAAAAAAAUAAUAAGGAAGCCAUAGGCAGAAAGGAAAGGAAUGAAGUAAACAGAGAAUGAGCUGGACUCAAAAAAUAGAAAGACAUAUAAACACCUUGGAGAGCUAGGCACAUGGGUCCUGGAGCAAAAUAAAGUGUGGCAGGACAGCCAGAGUGGACUGGAAACACUACGCAAAGAAACCAGUAAGAAGUGGUCCCUAAACGAAAUUCUUUAUGUGCCCGUAGUUGUCUGGCUUAUAAAUGACUGCACAUGGCUGCUCAUGUGGUUCAUUGCUGUAACGUUUGG
ensembl:lncRNA